rnacentral:rRNA from 1 species
AUUGAACGCUGGCGGCAGGCUUAACACAUGCAAGUCGAGCGGGGUGAUGGUGCUUGCACUAUCACUUAGCGGCGGACGGGUGAGUAAUGCUUAGGAAUCUGCCUAUUAGUGGGGGACAACAUCUCGAAAGGGAUGCUAAUACCGCAUACUUCCUACGGGAGAAAGCAGGGGAUCACUUGUGACCUUGCGCUAAUAGAUGAGCCUAAGUCGGAUUAGCUAGUUGGUGGGGUAAAGGCCUACCAAGGCGACGAUCUGUAGCGGGUCUGAGAGGAUGAUGCGCCACGCUGGGGCUGAGACACGGCCAAGACUCUUACGGGAGGAAGCAGUGGGGAAUAUUGGACAAUGGGGGGAACCCUGAUCCAGCCAUGCCGCGUGUGUGAAGAAGGCCUUAUGGUUGUAAAGCACUUUAAGCGAGGAGGAGGCUCUUUUGGUUAAUACCCAAGAUGAGUGGACGUUACUCGCAGAAUAAGCACCGGCUAACUCUGUGCCAGCCGCCGCCGUAA